rnacentral:rRNA from 1 species
UUGACCUCAAAUCGGGUGAGACUACCCGCUGAACUUAAGCAUAUCAAUAAGCGGAGGAAAAGAAACUAACAAGGAUUCCCCUAGUAACUGCGAGUGAAGCGGGAAAAGCUCAAAUUUAAAAUCUGGUGGUCUUUGGCCAUCCGAGUUGUAAUUUAGAGAAGCGUCUUCCGCG